AUGUAUUCAGUGUUUUUAUCAUUUAUUCACUAUGUAUUCAGUGUUUUUAUCAUUUAUUCACCAUGUAUUCAGUGUUUUUAUCAUUUAUUCACCAUGUAUUCAGUGUUUUUAUCAUUUAUUCACCAUGUAUUCAGUGUUUUUAUCAUUUAUUCACCAUGUAUUCAGUGUUUUUAUCAUUUAUUCACCAUGUAUUCAGUGUUUUUAUCAUUUAUUCACCAUGUAUUCAGUGUUUUUAUCAUUUAUUCACCAUGUAUUCAGUGUUUUUAUCAUUUAUUCAUCAUGUAUUCAGUGUUUUUAUCAUUUAUUCAUCAUGUAUUCAGUGUUUUUAUCAUUUAUUCACCAUGUAUUCAGUGUUUUUAUCAUUUAUUCACCAUGUAUUCAGUGUUUUUAUCAUUUAUUCAUCAUGUAUUCAGUGUUUUUAUCAUUUAUUCACCAUGUAUUCAGUGUUUUUAUCAUUUAUUCAUCAUGUAUUCAGUGUUUUUAUCAUUUAUUCACCAUGUAUUCAGUGUUUUUAUCAUUUAUUCACCAUGUAUUCAGUGUUUUUAUCAUUUAUUCACCAUGUAUUCAGUGUUUUUAUCAUUUAUUCAUCAUGUAUUCAGUGUUUUUAUCAUUUAUUCACUAUGUAUUCAGUGUUUUUAUCAUUUAUUCACUAUGUAUUCAGUGUUUUUAUCAUUUAUUCACUAUGUAUUCAGUGUUUUUAUCAUUUAUUCACCAUGUAUUCAGUGUUUUUAUCAUUUAUUCACCAUGUAUUCAGUGUUUUUAUCAUUUAUUCACCAUGUAUUCAGUGUUUUUAUCAUUUAUUCAUCAUGUAUUCAGUGUUUUUAUCAUUUAUUCAUCAUGUAUUCAGUGUUUUUAUCAUUUAUUCACCAUGUAUUCAGUGUUUUUAUCAUUUAUUCACCAUGUAUUCAGUGUUUUUAUCAUUUAUUCACCAUGUAUUCAGUGUUUUUAAUCAUUUAUUCACUAUGUAUUCAGUGUUUUUAUCAUUUAUUCACCAUGUAUUCAGUGUUUUUAUCAUUUAUUCACCAUGUAUUCAGUGUUUUUAUCAUUUAUUCACCAUGUAUUCAGUGUUUUUAUCAUUUAUUCACCAUGUAUUCAGUGUUUUUAUCAUUUAUUCAUCAUGUAUUCAGUGUUUUUAUCAUUUAUUCACCAUGUAUUCAGUGUUUUUAUCAUUUAUUCAUCAUGUAUUCAGUGUUUUUAUCAUUUAUUCACCAUGUAUUCAGUGUUUUUAUCAUUUAUUCAUCAUGUAUUCAGUGUUUUUAUCAUUUAUUCAUCAUGUAUUCAGUGUUUUUAUCAUUUAUUCACCAUGUAUUCAGUGUUUUUAUCAUUUAUUCACCAUGUAUUCAUGUUUUUAUCAUUUAUUCAUCAUGUAUUCAGUGUUUUUAUCAUUUAUUCAUCAUGUAUUCAGUGUUUUUAUCAUUUAUUCACCAUGUAUUCAGUGUUUUUAUCAUUUAUUCAUCAUGUAUUCAGUGUUUUAUCAUUUAUUCAUCAUGUAUUCAGUGUUUUUAUCAUUUAUUCACCAUGUAUUCAGUGUUUUUAUCAUUUAUUCACCAUGUAUUCAGUGUUUUUAUCAUUUAUUCACCAUGUAUUCAGUGUUUUAUCAUUUAUUCACCAUGUAUUCAGUGUUUUUAUCAUUUAUUCACCAUGUAUUCAGUGUUUUUAUCAUUUAUUCACCAUGUAUUCAGUGUUUUUAUCAUUUAUUCAUCAUGUAUUCAGUGUUUUUAUCAUUUAUUCACCAUGUAUUCAGUGUUUUUAUCAUUUAUUCAUCAUGUAUUCAGUGUUUUUAUCAUUUAUUCACCAUGUAUUCAGUGUUUUUAUCAUUUAUUCACCAUGUAUUCAGUGUUUUUAUCAUUUAUUCACCAUGUAUUCAGUGUUUUUAUCAUUUAUUCACCAUGUAUUCAGUGU
ensembl:lncRNA